UUUCCGGUUGAUCCUGCCGCCGGCCACCGCUAUCAAGUUCCGACUAAGCCAUGCGAGUCAAGGUAUCGUAAGAUGCCGGCAAACUGCUCAGUAACACGUGGAUAAUCUAACCUUGAGUAAGGGAUAACCUCGGGAAACUGAGGAUAAUACCUUAUAAUUGCUUAAAACUGGAAUGUUUAAGCAAUAAAAGUUCCGACGCUCAAGGAUGAGUCUGCGACCUAUCAGGUAGUAGGUGGUGUAAUGGACCACCUAGCCUCAGACGGGUACGGGCCCUGGGAGGGGUAGCCCGGAGAUGGACUCUGAGACAUCAGUCCAGGCCCUACGGGGCGCAGCAGGCGCGAACACUGUGCAAUGCGCGAAAGCGCGACACGGGGAGCUUGAGUGUCUUGGCAUAGCCAAGACUUUUCUCAUUCCUAAAAAGCAUGAGGAAUAAGUGCUGGGUAAGACGGGUGCCAGCCGCCGCGGUAACACCCGCAGCACAAGUGGUGGUCACUUUUAUUGAGCCUAAAGCGUUCGUAGCCGGUUUUGUAAAUCUUUAGAUAAAGCCUGAAGCUUAACUCCAGAAAGUCUGAAGAGACUGCAAGACUUGAGAUCGGGUGAGGUUAAACGUACUUUCAGGGUAGGGGUAAAAUCCUGUAAUCCCGGAAGGACGACCAGUGGCGAAAGCGUUUAACUAGAACGAAUCUGACGGUAAGGAACGAAGGCUAGGGUAGCAAACCGGAUUAGAUACCCGGGUAGUCCUAGCUGUAAACACUGCCCAUUUGAUGUUGCUUUUCCGUUGAGGGAAGGCAGUGUCGGAGCGAAGGUGUUAAAUGGGCCGCUUGGGAAGUAUGGUCGCAAGACUGAAACUUAAAGGAAUUGGCGGGGGAGCACCGCAACGAGAGGAAUGUGCGGUUUAAUUGGAUUCACCGCCGGG
rnacentral:rRNA from 1 species